rnacentral:rRNA from 1 species
GUCCACGCCGUAAACUAUGAGAGCUAGCCGUUGGGGAGUUUACUCCUCAGUGGCGCAGCUAACGCAUUAAGCUCUCCGCCUGGGGAGUACGGUCGCAAGAUUAAAAACUCAAAGGAAUUGACGGGGGCCCGCACAAGCAGUGGAGCAUGUGGUUUAAUUCGAAGCAACGCGAAGAACCUUACCAGCCCCUUGACAUGGUCGGACGGUUUCCAGAGAUGGAUUCCUUCACUUCGGUGACUGACACACAGGUGCUGCAUGGCUGUCGU